rnacentral:lncRNA from 1 species
AUCUGGAAUCGACUGCACUGAUGGGGAAGGUGCUCCAGGGGUUACUGAAGUUAGGACGAGUCACGGAAAUGGAGAGAAUCCAGACUGUCCUGAGGUGAACAUAGCAGUGGAAGGGAUACCUGAGAGGAAGAAGAUUAAGCUCAAGAAAAAGAAGAAGACUAGGCAGGAGCAAUCCCAUUCUACUGUCUCAGAUGGUGGUGCUGUUGAGGCAGACAGAUCUGGAAAUGGCUGCACAGAUGGGGAUGAGGCUUCAGGUGAUGCUGAGGUUAGUAUGAGCACCAGAAAUGAAGAGGACCCAGACAGUCCUGAGGUGAACAUUGCAGAGAGAGGGACACCUGAGAGGAAGAAGAUUAAGCUCAUGAAACAGAAGAAGAAUAGGCAGGAGCGAUUCCGUUCUGCUGUGUCUGAUGGUGGUGCUGUUGAGUCAGAC